GACGAACGCGGCGGCGUGCCUAAUACAUGCAAGUAGAACGCACAGGAUGCACCGUAGUUUACUACACCGUAUUCUGUGAGUUGCGAACGGGUGAGUAACGCGUAGGUAACCUGCCUGGUAGCGGGGGAUAACUAUUGGAAACGAUAGCUAAUACCGCAUAAGAACAUUUACUGCAUGGUAGAUGUUUAAAAGGUGCGAAUGCAUCACUACCAGAUGGACCUGCGUUGUACUAGCUAGUAGGUGAGGUAACGGCUCACCUAGGCGACGAUACAUAGCCGACCUGAGAGGGUGAUCGGCCACACUGGGACUGAGACACGGCCCAGACUCCUACGGGAGGCAGCAGUAGGGAAUCUUCGGCAAUGGGGGGAACCCUGACCGAGCAACGCCGCGUGAGUGAAGAAGGUUUUCGGAUCGUAAAGCUCUGUUGUUAAGGAAGAACGAGUGUGAGAAUGGAAAAGUUUCAUAACUGUGACGGUACUAAACC
rnacentral:rRNA from 1 species